AUGGUGGCCAUGGGGAGGAAGAGGCUCGCCCAGAGUACGACGGUGAAAAGAGCCGCCGAGGAGUGUUGUGCGACGACCUCAGUAGCGGUGAAGGGACAAUGCGUGGUGUAUACAGCCGAUGGGGGUCGGUUCGAGGUGCCACUGGCGUACCUCGGCACGGCGGUCUUCAUCGAGCUUCUGAGGAUGUCUCAGGGGAAGUUUGGGUUCGCGGGCAGCGACGACGGUCGCAUCGCGCUGCUCUGCGACGCUGUGGUUAUGGAAUACGCCAUGUGCUUGCUCAGGAGAGAUGCUUCCACGGAGGUAGUGAUGGCGUUCCUGAGUUCCAUUGCCAGGUCGUGCUGCUUUGACGGCAGUGUGGUGGUGCCACGUGUAGGGUUUAGCCAUCAAGGCGUACACCUAGAAACUACAACUAACGCAGUUCUGCACACAUUUUCUUUUAAAGAAUUAGACAUAUUUAAAGAAUUUAGUGAAGAGAAAAGCAAACGCUCAUACAUUCAAUUGGCAAAGAAGUGGCAGAGGAUGGCUGCACUUAAGAGGAAUAAGCUGACGACAGCAACAACCAAAGAAGAUGAGAAGUGCUGCAUCUCUGUAGAAGUCAAGGGCCACUCUGUCAUGUACACAACUGAUGGGAGGCGCUUCGAGGUACCAUUGGUGUACCUCAGAACGACGACCUUCAGUGAGUUCCUGACGAUGUCCCAGGAAGAGUUUGGCUUCUCAAGCCAUGGCAAGAUCACACUGCCUUGUGUUGCCGAAGUGAUGGAGUAUGUCAUAUGCUUGCUCAGGAGAAAUGCCUCUGCCGAGGUCGAGAACGCGUCGCUGAGCUCUAUGGUGACAUCUUGUCACCACAUUGGUUGCACAAUGCCAACUGUUGGAGCCAACAAGCAAACUUGCUAUUUGUAG
rnacentral:rRNA from 1 species